GGUCAAUGAUGAGAAGUAAAAGGUCUGAUUUACCCAUAAAGCUCUGCCCGACCCGUGCUCCGCAGCAGCCCGCGCUUCGUGCUGCCAGCAUGCUACAAGUAACGACAUGCUGGUCUCUGAGCUGCUGACACACACACAGGAAGUGACACCAUAUUUGGAGUCUGUGUGCAGACCAUCUCAGCUCCUUGUCAUUUACUUCCAACAAGAACCAUCACAGUGGAGUGUAGGGGAGAGGAGGGAUGGGGGGACUGAUCUCAAGUUUUCAACCUGAGACC